AAUUAGUAAGCUAAUUGGACCUUCUUCUAAUAUGUCUUCUAUUUUUGAUGUCAUUUUUAAGACAUCUUUUAAUAUGUCUUCUGAUCCAAUUAGUAAGCUAAUUCUAUUUUCCAAUAAGUUGGCGUGAUCUUCUAUUUUCGUUAAUUUUUGCAUUGUUAGUAAGCUAAUUCUAUCUUCUUCUAAUAUGUCUUCUGUUUGUUGCAGAUCUCAAACAACCACAGUUCCUUGCUUUGAAUCAAUUUAGUUGGACUUAUAGAAGUUUGCUUUUCAUCCUGUUUUUAUCUCUUAGCUCCUUUUCCUUUAACUACAACUUAUUUGAAAAGUAUGAUCGAGAUUAACCACAAAUGCUAUUGAUUGUUUUUAUCUGGGGUUAUGUUGUAUGCCACUUCAAAAAAAAAAAAAAAAAAAAUCCAAAUUAACGUGGUGAUAGAAGUACUGACUACAAUACAAAAUUAACGGAAACGUAUCAUGUCAGAUUACUAAUUUUGUAAGAUAGAGUCGUAACAGUGCCAACAACUGAUCCUAUAGAUAAAUUCUCAAGUUAAAUUAGUGCAGUGUAGUAUUAGUUCAGUGUACCUAUGCAAUGUAGCAUUAUAGAAUCACAUGUAGCUACCUUUGGUUCACAGACAUGGUGACUAAAGAAGAUCAUAAACAGAAUGUUGUCCGUCUCCUUGCACGUUGUUAUCACACUAAGAGAUAUCAAUACAGAGAUAAUAUUAGAGAAAUGAUUAAAGUGCAGACAAUGAAAUGUUGUUGUUAGAUUUAUUUUUUUAUUUUUUCUGUUCGUUAGUUUAUGACAUGUUAAGAAGGAAAAAUAAUAUCUAAGCUCUCCACUCUAAAUUUAGAUCUCUUAAUAUUUGGUUUAUUAAUAAUCCAAGUGUACAAAUUCGUAUGAACCUUAAAUAUUAUUGAUUGUUUUUAUCUGGGCUUUUAUGUUGUAUGACACAUCAAAAAAAGAAAAAAAAAAUCCCUCUAGAUUCAUUGAAGAGCUUGAGCCAUAAAAUCAAAAUGAAAAAAAAGAAGACAAAAUAUAUGAUUCCUUAAGAUUCUUUCUCAUAAGGUAUUUUUAUUUGAUCCAAAUUUAAUUGAUAGUGUCAAUACCAAUUUUACACAAUUACUACUCCACCGGCUUAAGAUCCAACAGUGAACCUGUAUAAAAAAAAAAUCCCUCUAGAUUCAUUGAAGAGUUUGAGCAAAAAAAAAAAAAAAGACAUAGUUGAUCAUCUUUGUCUAACAAUUUGACAUUAACUAGAACGAAUCAGUUCAAGUUUUCAAAAGUCUUCCCUUUUAAAGGGCUCAGUUUUAGACGACUUGAUGUUUAGUAUAUUUUGAACCGUUCGUGACUCCUUAGACAUAUGUGACUUGCUUAGCAACUGUGCUAUUGGAGUGUUUCAAUCUUUUAGCCCUUAUAUCAUGUUGUAAUGUGCGAGCUUGAACAGUCUCAUGCCAAGACAAUAGAUAGACCUUCUACUUUCAACCCUCGCUCCAGAUUUGAAUCUCUCACAAAUAACUAUCAUUAGCUUGCAUUGUGAUUGUUAGUAUUGUUCUCAAUCAUGUUAACAUUAAAGGUUUUCAAUCAUUAAAGGGAUGAGCAAUUAAUAAACAAAAAAAAAAAAGAUAAAAAGGAAUGGACUCCAAGAGUUACUUCAACUUUUUUAAUUGGACGGAUGUAUUUUGAAAAUCCUUAUUAAAAUGUUAUAUUUUAAAUUUAACCAUUGUCAAAGGGCUGAGUUAUUUUGAAUCUCUGUAUUAGGUAGAUGACAUCGAAUACAAGACGUACAUAGAAGCAUGUAUUGAUCGUGGUUUACUAGAAGAUGACAAUGAAUGGGAUAAAUGUUGAGAAGAAGCGGUCAUAAUGAAAACUGGAUGUCAGGUACGCAGACUUUUCCCUUCAUUUUUAAAUUUUAGAGGGUUAUACUUUCAAAUUACUUCAUUAUUAGUUUUCAUAAAGCAGAGAGUUAUUCACACAAUCGACUUAAAAGUGGACCCAACUAAGCCUUAAUAGUUAAUAUCACUACAGUUUCAAGCUGAAUGUUUUCAAUAAAC
rnacentral:lncRNA from 1 species